GUGCUUGCUUUGCUAGCACACAUACUAAAAUUGGAACGAUACAGAGAAGAUUAGCAUGGCCCCUGUGCAAGGAUGACACACAAAUA
ensembl:snRNA U6 U6 spliceosomal RNA